rnacentral:rRNA from 1 species
AUACGGAGGGUGCAAGCGUUAUUCGGAAUCACUGGGCGUAAAGGACGCGUAGGCGGGUUGGCAAGUCAGAUGUGAAAUCCUACAGCUUAACUGUAGAACUGCAUUUGAAACUGCUAACCUAGAGUAUGGGAGAGGGAGAUGGAAUUAGUGGUGUAGGGGUAAAAUCCGUAGAUAUCACUAGGAAUACCGAAAGCGAAGGCGAUCUCCUGGAACAUAACUGACGCUAAGGCGUGAAAGCGUGGGGAGCAAACGGGAGUAGAAACCCUAGUAGUCC